GGGUCAGUAGUUUCGAUGAUAAUUGGAAGAUCUGAGAUAUUCUAUGGUUGGCAAGCUGAUCUGAGAUACCUAUGAUAAUCAUCGUAAUAAAUAUGAUAUAUUAUUUUAAAAUAAUUAUAGUAAAUAAGAUGUUAGCAAUAAUUUUGGAUGCAUAUUGAUUGCUGCAAAAGAGAUUUUGGAUGUUUCAGUAUUUAAAAAAUAAUAAAAUAAAAUAAAAAA
rnacentral:lncRNA from 1 species